UGCAAAACAUGAAAUUAAAAAAAGUGAUGGAUAACUCUCGUCAGUCAUUCAAUAUGCUUGUUUUUGGUGGAAGCUAGACGACUUAUUUUUGGCAUUUAGAAAAGUUGUUAAUUUUGCCUUUGCUGCUGCUGACUAGUGAUAACUCUUCCUCCUUUUUUUUUUCUUUUCUUUGGCAACAAAAAUAAGUUUUACUCUCUCUCUCAAUGGUGAUCAGUGUUUGUGGUCUUCCUUUGAAUUAUUGUUGCCUCUAGAAACAUGCUGGUUGUAUUUGCCGCAGUUGGCAUGACAGUUCUUGGUGAUCUAUUCACAUGUGGUAUAAAUGAGCUUGUAUCAUGAUAACUGGCUUUGGGCAAUGGCUUUGCUUCUUAAUUUAGAUGUGAUUGGGAUGAGUAGGAAUGGUUAUACCUCCAGUUUGGUGUUCAAACUGUAUAUAUGAAGACACUUUGUCAUUUUAGUUCAGUUGCACUUAACGUGGUGCAAUUUCUUGUUUUUGACCUUACUGAAUAUAGUUUAUCAUGCUUAGAUGUAGUUGUUAUUUUCUAAAUUAUUGUGCAGAGAUGUGAUGGUUUCUUGA
rnacentral:misc_RNA from 1 species